CUAAUCAUGUAUAUAUCAUGAUAUAUAUUUAUAUGAUUUUUUAAAUUUUCAUUAGGAAUACAGUUUCCCAAAGAGAAUUCUUCACAUUGUGGGAAAGCAAGAGAGCCUGGUGAUGCCAGCACGUUAUCCUAGACGCUGUGGGUACUCCCUUAGUUUAUCACAACAGCAAAGUUGGAGUGAAUGUCUUAUUGUAUGAUCAUAGAGAAGAAAAUCUCCAUAGUUCCAAAUGCUGAUGAAAACUUAUUAAGGAAUUGGUCAGGAAGUAGAUGAGAAGGGAUAGUGUGAUCUGUUAUUACCAUCUCCACUUUGAGACCACUUUAGCUUUUGACCAGCCUACGUCACUGAGGGUCAAGCAGUUGGUUCAGUUUUCAUUGGAAUAUUUAUGUGGGUAAAGCUUCCUGUUUGCUGCAUUUUCCUAGGAUUUUUUUAUCCCACAACUACAAUGUGAACAAAGAGAUGGGAGAGAAAUUAUGCUAAUGCAUUUUGGUGGAUCAAAUGAGUGUUUCAUGAGACAACUCAAGUUUUUGUAAGCUAUAUGGUGUUGGAAUAUAAUUUCAAAGACAACUAAGCCCUAAAAUAGGUAAUUUAUUUAAAACAUAACUUCCUUGAAUGGAAGGAUUUUUUUUGUUCUUUCUCUGAGAAAUAUGAUUUGAGAAUAAAAGGAAAUAUAUAACCGU
rnacentral:lncRNA from 1 species